GAGUUUGAUCAUGGCUCAGGAUGAACGCUGGCGGCGUGCUUAACACAUGCAAGUCGAACGAACCUUCGGGUUAGUGGCGGACGGGUGAGUAACGCGUGGGAAUCUGCCCUCAGGAGGGGGAUAACGGUUGGAAACGGCCGCUAAUACCCCAUAUGCCGAGAGGUGAAAUGAAUUUCGCCUGAGGAUGAGCCCGCGUCUGAUUAGCUAGUUGGUGAGGUAAGAGCUCACCAAGGCAUCGAUCAGUAGCUGGUCUGAGAGGAUGAUCAGCCACACUGGGACUGAGACACGGCCCAGACUCCUACGGGAGGCAGCAGUGGGGAAUUUUCCGCAAUGGGCGAAAGCCUGACGGAGCAACGCCGCGUGAGGGAUGAAGGCCUCUGGGCUGUAAACCUCUUUUAUCAAGGAAGAAGAUCUGACGGUACUUGAUGAAUAAGCCACGGCUAAUUCCGUGCCAGCAGCCGCGGUAAUACGGGAGUGGCAAGCGUUAUCCGGAAUUAUUGGGCGUAAAGCGUCCGCAGGCGGCCCUACAAGUCUGCUGUUAAAAAGUGGAGCUUAACUCCAUCAUGGCAGUGGAAACUGUUGGGCUUGAGUGUGGUAGGGGCAGAGGGAAUUCCCGGUGUAGCGGUGAAAUGCGUAGAUAUCGGGGAGAGCACCAGUGGCGAAGGCGCUCUGCUGGGCCAUCACUGACGCUCAUGGACGAAAGCCAGGGGAGCGAAAGGGAUUAGAUACCCCUGUAGUCCUGGCCGUAAACGAUGAACACUAGGUGUCGGGGGAAUCGACCCCUCCGGUGUCGUAGCCAACGCGUUAAGUGUUCCGCCUGGGGAGUACGCACGCAAGUGUGAAACUCAAAGGAAUUGACGGGGGCCCGCACAAGCGGUGGAGUAUGUGGAUUAAUUCGAUGCAACGCGAAGAACCUUACCAGGGUUUGACAUCCUGCGAAUCUCUUGGAAACGAGAGAGUGCCUUCGGGAGCGCAGUGACAGGUGGUGCAUGGCUGUCGUCAGCUCGUGUCGUGAGAUGUUGGGUUAAGUCCCGCAACGAGCGCAACCCACGUCUUUAGUUGCCAGCAUUUAGUUGGGCACUCUAGAGAGACCGCCGGUGAUAAACCGGAGGAAGGUGUGGAUGACGUCAAGUCAUCAUGCCCCUUACAUCCUGGGCUACACACGUACUACGAUGCUACGGACAAAGGGCAGCAAGUUCGCGAGGACAAGCAAAUCCCAUAAACCGUGGCUCAGUUCAGAUCGUAGGCUGCAACUCGCCUACGUGAAGUAGGAAUCGCUAGUAAUCGCAGGUCAGCAUACUGCGGUGAAUACGUUCCCGGGCCUUGUACACACCGCCCGUCACACCAUGGAAGUUGGCCACGCCCGAAGCCGUUACUCCAACCCUUGUGGAGGAGGACGUCGAAGGUGGGGCUGAUGACUGGGGUGAAGUCGUAACAAGGUAACC
rnacentral:rRNA from 1 species